rnacentral:rRNA from 1 species
UACGUAGGCAGCGAGCGUUGUUCGGAGUUACUGGGGCGUAAAGGGUGCGUAGGCGGUUGUUUUAAGUUUGGUGUGAAAUCUCCCCGGCUCAACUGGGAGGGUGCGCCGAAUACUGAAUGACUAGAGUGCGGGAGAGGAGAGUGGAAUCCUGGUGUAGCGGUGAAAUGCGUAGAUAUCAGGAGGAACACUGGUGGUGUAGACGGCUCUCUGGACCGUAACUGACGCUGAGGCACGAAAGCGUGGGUAGCAAACAGGG